CAGUCGCCGCGGUAAUACAGAGGGUGCGAGCGUUAAUCGGAUUUACUGGGCGUAAAGCGUGCGUAGGCGGCUUCUUAAGUCGGAUGUGAAAUCCCUGAGCUUAACUUAGGAAUUGCAUUCGAUACUGGGAAGCUAGAGUAUGGGAGAGGAUGGUAGAAUUCCAGGUGUAGCGGUGAAAUGCGUAGAGAUCUGGAGGAAUACCGAUGGCGAAGGCAGCCAUCUGGCCUAAUACUGACACUGAGGCACGAAAGCGUGGGGAGCAAACAGGAUUAGAUACCCCAGUAGUCCCUGUCUCUUAUAC
rnacentral:rRNA from 1 species